AUGCUCCAUGCCGCACCGCGCCAGGCCGGCAACAGCGGAGGCGACGGGGAGGCGAAGAGCAGAGCAGCCCCCCCCCCGGCUCUGAGCCCGGACUGCGAU
rnacentral:SRP_RNA from 1 species